rnacentral:rRNA from 1 species
UCCCAUGCAUGUCUCAGUACAUACGGGGACACAGUGAAACUGCGUAUGGCUCUUUACAUCAGUUAUGGUUCCUUUAAUCGUACAAUCCUUCCCGGAUAACUGUAGUAAUGCUGGAGCUUAUACGUGCGAGCAACCCCCGGGGUUCGGCGAAGGGCGCCUUUACUAGAUCAACACCAAUCGGGCCGUAUGGCUUUUACUUUUGGUGACUCUGGAUAACUUUGGGUUGAUCGCACGGCCUUGUUUCGGCGACGUAUCUGUCAAAUUUUUUCCCUAUCAACUUUCGAUGGUACGUGAUAUGCCUACCAUGGUUGUAACUCCUAAAGGGGAAUAAGGGUUCGAUUCCGGAGAUGGAGCAUGAGAAACGGCUACCACAGCCAAGGAAGGCAGCAGGCGCGCAAUUUACCCACUCUUGACACGGGGAGGUACCCACGAAAAAUAUCAAUACGGGACUUUUUCGAGGCCCUGUAAUUGGAAUGAGUACACUUUAAAUCCUUUAACGCUCUUCCAUUGGAGGGCAAGUCUGUUGCCAGCAGCCGCGGUAAUUCCAGCUCCAAUUGCGUAUAUUCAAAUUUUUGCAGUUAAAUUGCUCGUAGUUGGGUCUCGGGUCCAGGCUGGUUGUCCUCCUCCCGGAGGUUACUGCCUGUCCUGACCGGCCUCCCGGUUCUCCCUUUUUGCUCUUGACUGAGUGUCUCGGGUGGCCGGAACGUUUACUUUAAAAAAAUUACAGUGUUCAAAGCAGGCAAUUCGACUGAAUAAUGGUGCAUGGAAUAUUUU